GGAAUAUUGCACAAUGGGCGCAAGCCUGACCCAGCAACGCCGCGUGAGGGAUGAAGGCCCUCGGGUCGUAAACCUCUGUCGGGAGGGAAGAACGGUUGCCAUUCGCACAGGUUGGCAGCCUGCCGGUACCUCCAAAGGAAGCACCGGCUAACUCCGUGCCAGCAGCCGCGGUAAUACGGAGGGUGCGAGCGUUGUUCGGAAUCAUUGGGCGUAAAGCGCGUGUAGGCGGCUUGGUAAGUCGGGUGUGAAAUCCCGGGGCCCAACCCCGGAACUGCAUUCGAAACUGCCUCGCUAGAGUCCCGGAGAGGAAGGCGGAAUUCCCGGUGUAGAGGUGAAAUUCGUAGAUAUCGGGAGGAACACCAGCGGCGAAGGCGGCCUUCUGGACGGUGACUGACGCUGAGACGCGAAAGCGUGGGGAGCAAAC
rnacentral:rRNA from 1 species